rnacentral:rRNA from 1 species
AGAGUUUGAUCCUGGCUCAGGAUGAACGCUAGCUACAGGCUUAACACAUGCAAGUCGAGGGGCAGCAUUUUAGUUUGCUUGCAAACUGAAGAUGGCGACCGGCGCACGGGUGAGUAACACGUAUCCAACCUGCCGAUAACUCCGGAAUAGCCUUUCGAAAGAAAGAUUAAUACCGGAUAGUAUACGAAUAUCGCAUGAUAUUUUUAUUAAAGAAUUUCGGUUAUCGAUGGGGAUGCGUUCCAUUAGUUUGUUGGCGGGGUAACGGCCCACCAAGACUACGAUGGAUAGGGGUUCUGAGAGGAAGGUCCCCCACAUAGGAACUGAGACACGGUCCAAACUCCUACGGGAGGCAGCAGUGAGGAAUAUUGGUCAAUGGGCGCAGGCCUGAACCAGCCAAGUAGCGUGAAGGAUGAAGGCUCUAUGGGUCGUAAACUUCUUUUAUAUGGGAAUAAAGUAUUCCACGUGUGGAAUUUUGUAUGUACCAUAUGAAUAAGGAUCGGCUAACUCCGUGCCAGCAGCCGCGGUAAUACGGAGGAUCCGAGCGUUAUCCGGAUUUAUUGGGUUUAAAGGGAGCGUAGGUGGAUUGUUAAGUCAGUUGUGAAAGUUUGCGGCUCAACCGUAAAAUUGCAGUUGAAACUGGGAGUCUUGAGUACAGUAGAGGUGGGCGGAAUUCGUGGUGUAGCGGUGAAAUGCUUAGAUAUCACGAAGAACUCCGAUUGCGAAGGCAGCUCACUAGACUGUUACUGACACUGAUGCUCGAAAGUGUGGGUAUCAAACAGGAUUAGAUACCCUGGUAGUCCACACAGUAAACGAUGAAUACUCGCUGUUUGCGAUAUACAGUAAGCGGCCAAGCGAAA